UACGAAGGACCCAAGCGUUAUCCGGAUUUAUUGGGCUUAAAGGGUGCGUAGGCGGGUUAUUAAGUCAGUGGUGAAAGCCUUCAGCUUAACUGAAGAAUUGCCAUUGAUACUGAUGAUCUUGAGUAUGAUUGAGGUGGGCGGAAUGUGUCAUGUAGCGGUGAAAUGCUUAGAUAUGACACAGAACACCGAUUGCGAAGGCAGCUCACUAAGCCAUAACUGACGCUGAUGCACGAAAGCGUGGGGAGCAAACAGG
rnacentral:rRNA from 1 species